AUGAGAGUAGAAUCCAUGGAAGUCGGCAUGAGUGCCACUCUGCCACAGCAGUCGAUGUGGUCAGCCAUUUGGGUCAACAUGGCAAGCUGGCAGCUUCCUACAGGGAGCACCUGCUAUGUACGUGCUCUUCUCUCUCUUCCUCUCCUCUGUCUGUGUGCCAGCCUUGCCCACCUGUCAUUCAGUUUACUUAUUUAUGUUAUUUUUCCAACAGUUUUAAAGAGCAGCCCUAGGAAAACAUUAUUAUAAAUCGUAAUCAGAAGACAUUAAUGAUCGGUUACUUAGGCUCCUGCUCCUCCGCGUGGUUUACCUGGCCGCUUAUUCUGAAAUUCCCCUCUCUAUGCACUUUCUUAUGUCUUAGGAUUUACUUACCUGACCUGGAAUCCACUUAUCCACACUUCUCUAUUUAUGUACCUUACCCACUCUUCACGACCCACUGCCAAUGCUGUCUUCUCAGCACACCCCUGCCGUCAGAAGUAUAACCUCUCCUGUUUUUGAGCUGCUGGAGUGCUUGAUCCCUACAUCUUAAAGCAUCUAUCGCUUUGCACAGCGACCAGGUAGAUGUCUGUAGACGUGCCUCACCUCCUGGUGGUGGACGUUAUUGGUGACCAUCAACCUCCCAUUCACCUUGCAGCAGAUUGCAUUUUCCAACAUGAGUUGCCAUAAUAAUUCCAGUCUUAUAUAUUCUUCCGGAACCUUGCCACGGAACCAUAAAGAUGUGGAACUGAUGUUUCUUCUCCUCGAUCCUGGGUGAGCCUCUGUGACUUCCUGUACACAUAGAAUGCGAUAGAAUGGGGCUAGGUUAGAUAAGGCUACACUGUAUUCUCCUGACUCUCUCUGUCUUGGGACAUGUGCCUUUUGAGCUUGAGCUGCUAUGUAAGGAUCCAGCAACCGUGAAGCCAUUGCAUGGGAGACCACAGAGAGACAGAGCGAUGCCGAGGUGCUCCCCACCGAUCUUCAAGGAGCCCCCGUCCUCCAGCUGACGCCAUGUGGAGCCAGAUGAGUUGUCCCUGCUGAGUCCUGCCCAGAUUGCAGACUUGAAAGCUAAAUAAAAUUGUUAUUAAGGUUGUUUUUAGGCCA
rnacentral:lncRNA from 1 species